rnacentral:rRNA from 1 species
AUUCGUCCAAGUGAAGUAGAGGACAGUGGCGGACGGGUGAGUAACGCGUGAGGAACCUGCCUCAAAGAGGGGGACAACAGUUGGAAACGACUGCUAAUACCGCAUGAUACAUUUGGGUGGCAUCAUCUGAAUGUCAAAGAUUUAUCGCUCUGAGAUGGCCUCGCGUCUGAUUAGAUAGUUGGCGGGGUAACGGCCCACCAAGUCGACGAUCAGUAGCCGGACUGAGAGGUUGACCGGCCACAUUGGGACUGAGACACGGUCCAAACUCC